UACGAAGGGGGCUAGCGUUGUUCGGAAUUACUGGGCGUAAAGCGCACGUAGGCGGCUCGAUAAAUUAGAAGUGAAAGCCCCGGGCUUAACCUGGGAAUUGCUUUUAAGACUGUCGAGCUAGAAUCCAGAAGAGGGUAGUGGAAUUCCGAGUGUAGAGGUGAAAUUCGUAGAUAUUCGGAAGAACACCAGUGGCGAAGGCGACUACCUGGUCUGGCAUUGACGCUCAUGUGCGAAAGCGUGGGGAGCAAACAGG
rnacentral:rRNA from 1 species